UAGAUACCCUGGUAGUCCACGCCCUAAACGAUGUCAAUUAGCUGUUGGGGGUUUGAAUCCUUGGUAGCGAAGCUAACGCGUGAAAUUGACCGCCUGGGGAGUACGGCCGCAAGGUUAAAACUCAAAGGAAUUGACGGGGACCCGCACAAGCGGUGGAUGAUGUGGAUUAAUUCGAUGCAACGCGAAAAACCUUACCUGCUCUUGACAUGUCCGGAAUCCUUGAGAGAUUGAGGAGUGCCCGAAAGGGAAC
rnacentral:rRNA from 1 species